rnacentral:rRNA from 1 species
GACGAACGCUGGCGGCGUGCUUAACACAUGCAAGUCGAACGGUGAAGCUCCAGCUUGCUGGAGUGGAUCAGUGGCGAACGGGUGAGUAACACGUGAGCAACCUGCCCCUGACUCUGGAAUAAGCGCUGGAAACGGCGUCUAAUACUGGAUACGAGAAGGGUCCGCAUGGGCACUUUCUGGAAAGUUUUUCGGUUGGGGAUGGGCUCGCGGCCUAUCAGCUUGUUGGUGAGGUACUGGCUCACCAAGGCGACGACGGGUAGCCGGCCUGAGAGGGCGACCGGCCACACUGGGACUGAGACACGGCCCAGACUCCUACGGGAGGCAGCAGUGGGGAAUAUUGCACAAUGGGCGAAAGCCUGAUGCAGCGACGCCGCGUGAGGGAUGACGGCCUUCGGGUUGUAAACCUCUUUCAGCAGGGAAGAAGCGAAAGUGACGGUACCUGCAGAAGAAGCACCGGCUAACUACGUG